CAAAAACUUGUUUCAAACGACAUGAAAAGCCUUUGAAUCAGAAAGCUACGAUCUUCAUUCACCAACGGUAAUGACAACAAUGUCAAAUUCUCCUCAAUUCUUCUCUCGCUUCAAGAAAACCUCCCAAUCCCUAAAAGCUAGCCUUCAUCCGUGGUCCCUUUUCCUAGACCUCACCUCUCUCAACCUCCCAUCCUCCAUUCCCGACUCCACUACUCGCAUAACUCAGAACUUCACUCAUUUUCGCACUAAUUACUCGAUAAUUGUCUUGCUCGUCCUCUUCUUCGGUCUCCUCUAUCAUCCUCUCUCCCUAAUCUCCUUCUUUAUCACGCUCGUCGCUUGGG
rnacentral:misc_RNA from 1 species